AACGUAGGGGCCAAGCGUUAUCCGGAAUUAUUGGGCGUAAAGCGCGUGCAGGCGGCUAGGCAAGUCGGACGUGAAAGCUCCCGGCUCAACUGGGAGAGGCGGUUCGAAACUGCCUAGCUAGAGGACGGUAGAGGCGAGUGGAAUUCCCGGUGUAGUGGUGAAAUGCGUAGAUAUCGGGAGGAACACCAGAGGCGAAAGCGGCUCGCUGGGCCGAUUCUGACGCUCAGACGCGAAAGCCAGGGGAGAGAACGGG
rnacentral:rRNA from 1 species